rnacentral:lncRNA from 1 species
GUCUUUUUGUAAACUAAAAUAUUAUAUGUUCAAAAAUGGAAAAAAAAACAUUAUCAUUGUACAUUUUACUAUAGCCAACACACAACCUAUUCAUAUCCCUGCUUUAUUAGGCUACAUUCUUUUCAAUACAGCUUUAUUCGCCUUUUGCUGUGUCUUUUGGCAAACACAUCCAUUAAAAUCAUCAACAUUUAUGGCCCUGCUGUUGCGGAUGGUGCAAUUGCCUUACCAGGCAGUGAAACAGCCCGACAGGAUGCUCGCUGAAACAUCUCCCUUCGUACCUCUAGCCACCUUUGGUGCACAUAUGACCAUGACACAAAGACAUAGAGUUUCUGCAAAAGAGAAAAGAAACAAUAGGCUGCAUUUCAGGGAUGCAUUUCACACUGUCAACUAAUACUACAUUUAAGCAAUGUGCAUUGCAGUGAACCUAAAAAUCUAAUUGGGCCUCUGAUUUAAUGUGUGCUUGCAAACCUGUGUUCUUUCCACUCAUGACAAAUGCACCAUCAUAUGCUUGCCCUACUAGGUGGUUUCUGUAGUCAAGGCUUCUGCAGUAUUUGUACAAUUUCGUAUCGAAUUACAAAGGACAUCUGUUCUUUCUUGCUAAUGUCUUUGGUUUCGUCGACCAUAAUGCUGAAAGCCUCACUUUGUGCAACUUCACAAAUGAUUACGGUGUGGACUAUUUCAGCCAGGCAAUCAAUUAUUUUGUUUUGUGUACUAUGCCCAAGAGAACACAGCAAGAUGAGAUGGAGAAGAUUGAGAAGCACAUCAAAUCAUCCAAAGUCAAGAACGACGCAAAGCCAUUGGCCAAGCCUGAACUUGUUUCUCUUCCAGUUGUCCCAAAUCCCCAAUUUCUCAGGAAGGGUGUUUUGCAUCCUCUUUCAAUCAACCUUUGUUGAAUGUAUCUCCUCCAUCCUCCGGAAAG